GCCUCUGUAGCUCAGUUAGUUAGUUAGCACUGCACCGGAAUCGCAGGGCCGUAGGUUCAAUUCCUACCAGAGGAC